CCCACACACCCUCCGUCCGGAAAUACUUGUCUUAGAAAUGGAUAAAAAUUGAUGUAUCUAAAACUAAAAUAGGUCUAGAUACAUCCAUUUCUAUGACAAGUAUUUUCGGACGGAGGGAGUACUGU
rnacentral:pre_miRNA from 1 species